AGUGAACGCUGGCGGCGUGCUUAACACAUGCAAGUCGAACGAGAACGGAAUAUAGCUUGCUAUAUUUGUCAGCUAAGUGGCGCACGGGUGAGUAAUGUAUAGAUAACCUGCCCUUAAGAAAGGAAUAACAGUUGGAAACGACUGCUAAUGCCCUAUAUGCCUUUAAUACAUAAGUAUGCAAGGGAAACGCUUUAGUGCUUAAGGAUGGGUCUGUAUGGUAUCAGCUUGUUGGUGAGGUAAUGGCUCACCAAGGCUAUGACGCCUAACUGGUUUGAGAGGAUGGUCAGUCACACUGGAACUGAGACACGGUCCAGACUUCUACGGGAGGCAGCAGUGGGGAAUAUUGCACAAUGGACGAAAGUUUGAUGCAGCAACGCCGCGUGGAGGAUGACACAUUUCGGUGCGUAAACUCCUUUUAUAUAGGAAGAUAAUGACGGUACUAUAUGAAUAAGCACCGGCUAACUCUGUGCCAGCCGCCGCGGUAA
rnacentral:rRNA from 1 species